GGGCGUAAGGGCUCGCAGGCGGUUUCUUAAGUCUGAUGUGAAAGCCCCCGGCUCAACCGGGGAGGGUCAUUGGAAACUGGGAAACUUGAGUGCAGAAGAGGAGAGUGGAAUUCCACGUGUAGCGGUGAAAUGCGUAGAGAUGUGGAGGAACACCAGUGGCGAAGGCGACUCUCUGGUCUGUAACUGACGCUGAGGAGCGAAAGCGUGGGGAGCGAACAGGAUUAGAUACCCUGGUAGUCCACGCCGUAAACGAUGAGUGCUAAGUGUUAGGGGGUUUCCGCCCCUUAGUGCUGCAGCUAACGCAUUAAGCACUCCGCCUGGGGAGUACGGUCGCAAGACUGAAACUCAAAGGAAUUGACGGGGGCCCGCACAAGCGGUGGAGCAUGUGGUUUAAUUCGAAGCAACGCGAAGAACCUUACCAGGUCUUGACAUCCUCUGACAACCCUAGAGAUAGGGCUUUCCCUUCGGGGACAGAGUGACAGGUGGUGCAUGGUUGUCGUCAGCUCGUGUCGUGAGAUGUUGGGUUAAGUCCCGCAACGAGCGCAACCCUUGAUCUUAGUUGCCAGCAUUCAGUUGGGCAC
rnacentral:rRNA from 1 species